rnacentral:rRNA from 1 species
UACGUAGGGUGCGAGCGUUAAUCGGAAUUACUGGGCGUAAAGCGUGCGCAGGCGGUUAUAUAAGACAGAGGUGAAAUCCCCGGGCUCAACCUGGGAACUGCGCUUGUAACUGGCAAGCUAGAGUGUGGCAGAGGGGGGUGGAAUUCCACGUGUAGCAGUGAAAUGCGUAGAGAUGUGGAGGAACACCGAUGGCGAAGGCAGCCCGCUGGGCUAACACUGACGCUCAUGCACGAAAGCGUGGGGAGCAAACAGG